rnacentral:lncRNA from 1 species
AUUUCCCUCACCAGGCAGCUUCAUUUAUUCAUGUACACAUUGUUCAUUACUCUGAAAAAUUUUUCUACAGCUGCAUUCAGAACAGGAAUCAAAACAUGAGAAUAAAAUAAUUUCAGCAAUUUUGGAACUUCUAUGAAUUAAACAACUGUGCUGACUCCAAGGGGAAAGAAAUGAUACAGUCAAAGCAAGAACUUCAUCAUAAAGGAAUUAAGAAAGAGGUGCUUUUUUCCUAAAAGUUUAGUUCCCCACCCAUUGAUGUUGUGCUCAGCCACACGACUUGCCCUGGCCAACGGAUGCAGAUGAAGUAAGAGUGUGCUACUACAGAGCAGAGGCCUUUAAUGACCUCCCCAGAAAACCUAAGCCAUAGCCUAAAGCCAAACCAUUCCAGCCACCCUGCAGAUCUACCGAGGAGGAAAACUAAUGUUUGUUGUUGUAAGAAGUAAAAAUUUAGACUACCUCAUUUCCAUCCUGGGCCCUCGCGUUCCUUCCCCUGGCUGCCGUUGUCAG